AUCCUGGCUCAGAACGAACGCUGGCGGCGUGGAUUAGGCAUGCAAGUCGAACGAGAAAGGCUCCUUCGGGAGCUGAGUACAGUGGCAAACGGGUGAGUAACGCGUGGGAAACCUGCCCUCUGGUUGGGGACAACACCUCUAACGGGGUGCUAAUACCGAAUAAGUUCGCGUAAUCGCAUGGUUGUGCGAACAAAGGCGGCCUCUACAUGUAAGCUGUCGCCGGAGGAUGGUCCCGCGUCCCAUUAGCUUGUUGGUGAGGUAACGGCUCACCAAGGCGAUGAUGGGUAGCCGGCCUUAGCGGGUGACCGGCCACACUGGGAUUGAGAUACGGCCCAGACUCCUACGGGAGGCAGCAGUCGAGAGGCAUCCACAAUGGGGGAAACCCUGAUGGUGCGACGCCGCGUGGGUGAUGAAGGUUUUCGGAUUGUAAAGCCCUUUCAGUAAGGACGAAGGGUUCCGGUGUUAAUAGCUCCGGAGCCAAGACGGUACUUACAUAAGAAGCUCCGGCUAACUCCGUGCCAGCAGCCGCGGUAAGACGGGGGGAGCAAGCGUUGUUCGGAAUUACUGGGCGUAAAGGGCGUCUAGGCGGAUUGGCAAGUCAGAUGUGAAAUCCUACGGCUUAACCGUAGAACUGCAUUUGAUACUGUUUAUCUUGAGUACGGAAGAGGGAAGCGGAAUUCCUGGUGUAGCGGUGAAAUGCGUAGAUAUCAGGAAGAACAUCGGUGGCGAAGGCGGCUUCCUAGUUCGAUACUGACGCUGAAGCGCGAAAGUGUGGGGAGCAAACAGGAUUAGAUACCCUGGUAGUCCACACUGUAAACGAUGGAUGCUAGGUGUCGGGGGUAUCGACCCCC
rnacentral:rRNA from 1 species